rnacentral:misc_RNA from 1 species
GCCCAAGAUAGUUGAUCUCCGCCUGCUCCAAAGGAAAAGAAAAAUCAACUGUUUAGCUCAUAACAACCUUUCAAACACUCUGGUCAUGAAAAAGGUAACUAGAAUGCAUUUAUUUCACUGAUUAGCUAGUAUUAUGAAAUGUUUGAACAUCUUUAUAGCUAUGUAUAUGAGAUGAUCACUAUACUAAUUUAGAUGCAAGAAAAGCCAGGAUCACAGAUAUCAUUGUAUUCCUUAAGUUCCCUUUGAUUAAGAAAGAAGUAUGCAAUUAAGGACAAACCUAUUUGCCCAAAUAAGCAAAACAGGUAUGAACAAAGGCGUAAAGAGACAUAACACUAAAAUUGAAAAUUGAAAAUGGAUCCCCAAAAUCUUGUAGAAUUAGUUAAGAAAAUGAAAUCAGAUUGCUGACCAGCCAUUCCCUGUGACCCUGGA